GCUAAACCAUUAUACAAUCUUCUUGGAUUUCCACGUAGAUCCAACUCAUGAAAAAUAAGCUACUUAAAGCAUUCAAUUCUGAAUGUCCCAAUAUCUUUAUACAUCAUAUCUAUUUACAUGGAAAUUCCAUAUUUAUCUAGCAGUAACCACAAACAAUGAACCAUUGACUAACAACUCAUAAUAAAAAAAUGAACAAAACUCGAUCUAUGGAAUAAUAGACAGACUCAGUCUGAACUAUCAAACAAAUACAUUAAGGACUACAAUUGAAAAUCUAGGCAAUAGCCUUUCAUAAGGCUGCCAGCUUUUCCAUAUAUAAGCAGAAAAUUUGUUUCAACUUUGAACUCACAUGGAUAUGACCAUGUCAAGAUCAGAUCCACCAAGAGCAUGGCUACACACAUGUAGACAACUAUGUUAUCACACAAACUCAGCUAACAAAACAGGAAUAUUAGACAAGAAUGAACAAAUGGAAAGAAUAUAUGUAACCUAAAACACAACAUAUAACAAAUAUUGUAUUUAACACACAAGAAACAUGUUUUCAUAGCAUGAGAAACAUUGAAUUAACAAAGAGUUACAUGGUCAAGGAAAAACAUAAAUGUUAUUGCAUUUAAUGAAGAUGUAUUGCAUCAUAACAACCUAGCAUUAAGCAAAAUCUCUUGCGUUCAUAUUAAGUUAGAUUUACAGAGAUUUGAGCACAAGACAAGGUGUGUACCUUGCUGCUUAAGAACUGCUCCAAAAAAUGCUUAGUAGAUGCAAAUAAUUCAGCCGCAAAGAGAUGGAUUUUCAACAGGUGAUCAGUAGAGAGCAAAAAACAAGAAAUAGCCACAUACAGCCUCAAACUUAAUCCAUUUUCAACUUGUGGAAACCAGAAAUCCCAAAGAAAUUCUUAAAAUUUUGCUCAAAUCAGAGGAAAAAAAAUUAGCUCUAAUGAAAUAGUGCUGAACCUUUAGGAGUGUUUUAGGGUUCUGAAAAUCUCCCUAAAUGAGUAAAGAAAGGUUCCAUUUAUAGGUAACCAAUGACAUGUGUUGAAAAGGAUAAGGGAAUUAUUCCCUUAAGCCACAAAAGCAUCUUUCAACAGAAUUGGAUAGCUGGCAGCUCCUAAUUGGUUUCAGUAUUUUGUACUGGCCAAAUAUAGCCAGCUGCCCAUAAUCUAGAACCUUUUAACAUAGCCUUAUCUGAAUUUCUAUUCACCUACCCUUCAAACAACCCCCUAAAAUUUUCUUUAUUGUUCAAUUAGCCCUACAAGUUUCCAUUAAUGCUGAAACAGUCAAUAUAAGACUACUGAAUGAAAUAAAAGCGGACCUUAGGCUAAUUAGGCGGAUGUUAAUUAAACUAAACUAAUUAGGCGAUUAUGCAUACUAACCAAAUAAUUCACACAAUAAAGUAGCUAAACACUGAUUAAUAUUAAACUAAAGUAAUUAAGAAUUAAGCUAAGUAGGCAGGAAUUAAACCAAAUUAACAAACCUAAUCGAACAAUUAGCAAAUUGUAAUGCUAAUGAAUCUGAAACAGAAAUAAACAGAUUAAUGAACCCUAAAAAACCUACUGACUAAGCAUGAGAAAAUCCAAUUAAUCCAUAGAUUAUUGUUACCAAAAUUUCUUCAUUUUUAGAUCAAGUGAAAAGGAAAAGAAAAGAAACAGAGUAAAGAAGGAGAGAAGAAAAGAAAAGAAAGGAAAAUAAGAAGAAUAAUCAAAGAAAUAGAAAGAGGAAGAAAACCAACCGAGAUACCUAGACUAGGCGGACGAUGGUUGGCUCAGACGAUACUCUGGCCUGCUCCGAUUUAAGCCAAAAUUAGUGUUAAUCGAAUGUUCUUAUUGAGAACAAACAACUAACACCAGUUUCGAGCUAAAUCGCUCUUGGAAACUUGAAGACAUGGAACUUAGGUUUUUACAUGUUACUAGAUCUAAAAUUAGCCAGAUUUAGCUGAGCUUUUGGGGAAAUUGAUAGAGGAUCGAGGCUUAGAGGGUGUGGGGGUUAUGGGGUAUGAAUUUGGGUGGGUUUGGAGACGGUUGGGUGGUGGACGCCAGCCAUUGGAGUGAGAGCAUUUGGGGCGGCUAGGGUUAGGGUUUGAGAGAGACAAAGAGGUGAAUAUGAUCUCUAGGGUUUUGGGGGGAAAAGGGAUUCAGACAGUUAAAUGGAAAGAGAUGAGGGGUUGCGGACCGUUAGAUUAAAUUUAAUGAACAAAUGAGAUGGAGUGUGACCAAACGACGUCGUUUUGGUUUCAGGGGGGAGGGGGGGUACUAGACUGGGCAGGGGUUGGGCUAGGCGGAACUGGGGCAAAAUUAAUUGGGCUUUGACACAUUUGGCCCAAUUCGAGUCCAAACAAGCCUUCUUUCUCCUUGUUUAUUUGACCCAAAUUUAAUUAAUACUAAUUACCAAUCACUAAUAAAUCUAAAUAACCCUAAACAAGACCUAAUAAUGAAGUUGAUUUAAUUAGCUAAUUCUAACACAAAUAAUUAAUUAAUUUUAGAACUAAUGAAAGAAAAAUACUAAAACUAAAACUAAAAAAAUGGAACAAUGUAUAUUUUUUUGAUUUUGUUUUGUGGAUGGGAUUAAUUAACAAUUAAACUAAAAUGCAACUACCAAACCAAGAAUGCAAUGCAUGGAACUCGAAUAUAUAAUUUUUGGGUAUUUUCUAUACUUUUAACAUAUGCAAAAAUGCACCUAAAAAUGCGUAUAAUUAAACAAAUAUCCUUAAAAUUCUAUAAAAAUUAAAAUAAACUACAAAAUUUUAUUUUGUGAUUUUGUAGGAGUAUUUUGGGUUGGGCAAAAAUCACGUGCUCACAACUGCCCCUCUUUGCUCGGGAACACGAAGAGUUUUUGGGCAAAGAUAAAGUGAGCGAAUACGAGCAAUUUUUACCCGCUUGGAUACUCUAUGGGAAUCAUUUUUGAAAGAUCCGACCGAACCUUGCUUCUGAGGCUGCCUACAUAUCCUUGGCUAUAAAGGAAUCAGGUCAGUGUAGUUCUGGAAGUUUUUGUAGGUGGGACUACCGGGAAGCUGUGAUUUCACUGCCGCUGCUGCUACUGCUUCCUGAACUCCUUAUUGCACCACAACAAUAAUGAAAAGAAUCUAGGCAAAUCUAUGCUCUAUAAAUUACAAGAUUCAUAUCUAUAUGUCUUCGACUUGAUCUUGAACUUUUGUUGUUCUAUCGCGCAUCUUGAACUGUUGAAUCACAUUCUUGAGGUGAGCUUUUGUUAUUUCUAACUUGAUUGACUUCAUGCUUCAGGCGGGUUAAUGCUGUUAUCUUGAGCUUACUUCUAAAAUGUACUCCCUCAUUCUCUAGGUGAGCGCCUGAUGCUAAUACUGAAAAUGACUUCCCUUGUUAUCUAGGUGGGCGCCUGAUGCUAAAACUGAAAAUGAAUUCCCUUGUUCUUCAGGUGGGCGCCUGAUGCCGAAACUUCCCUUGCUAUCCAGGUGGGCGCCUGAUGACAAAACUAAAAUGAAUUCCCUUGUUCUCCAGGUGGGCGCCUGAUACAAAAGCUAAAAAUGAAUUCACUUGUUAUCCAGGUGGGUGCCUGAUGCUGAAGCUAAAAAUGAAUUCCCUUGUUCUCCAGGUGAGCGCCUGAUGCUAAUACUGAAAAUGAAUUCCCUUGUUCUCCAGGUGUGCGCCUAAUGCUGAAACUAAAAAUGAAUUCCCUUGUUCUCCAGGUGGGUGCCUAAUGCUGAAACUAAAAAUGAAUUCCCUUCUUAUCCAGGUGGGCACCGGAUGCUAAAACUAAAGAUGAAUUCCUUUGUUAUCCAGGUGCGUGCCUGAUGCUAAAACUAAAAAUGAAUUCCCUUGUUCUCCAGGUGGGUGCUUGAUGCUAAAACUGAAAUGAAUUCCCUUGUUCUCCAGGUGGGUCCCUGAUGCUGAAACUAAAAAUGAAUUCCCUUCUUAUCUAGGUGGGCGCCUGAUGCUAAAACUAAAGAUGAACUCCCUUGUUAUCCAGGUGUGCGCCUGAUGCUAAACUAAAAAUGAAUUCCCUUGUUCUCCAGGUGAGCGCCUGAUGCUAAUACUGAAAAUGAAUUCCCUUGUUCUCCAGGAGGGCGCCUAAUGCUGAAACUAAAACUGAAUUCCCUUGUUCUCCAGGUAGGCGCCUGAUGGACACCUAUUUUCGGGUACACCUAUCCUAGACGGACUCAACCCCUGUGUUGAGUCCCCAAAGUCAAAUGCAUAUGAUGCAAACAAGCAUUUCUACUAGGGAUCCGACAUGAGGCUGUGUUAUUCUAGGUUUAAAACCUAGGUGUAUUGUUCUAGACCUAGCUUACCCGAGCAGACAACUUGAGCCGGGUGGGGCUACGUACUGGGAACCAAAAGGUCAUCCGGCUAUGUAACUGAUCCGAUCCUUGUUCUAAAUUAGGGUAUGACACUAACAGAAAAUAAGUCACGCCAGCGUGCACUUUCCAAAAGAUUAGAAGUGAGGGGUUUCGCAAUAGUUUAUAUACAGUUCAAAUAGUAUCAAAGCAGUAAAAAGUGGCAUUUAGCACAUCAUGCCCAAACAUGUAAUAGAAAUCAGAUAAUAAACAAAAGUCAAAUAUAACAAUUAUUCUAAGCUCGAAUUCUUGAACCCUGAACCAAAGAUUCUGAGUUCUUAUCCCCAGCAGAGUCGCUAGAGCUGUCACCUUUUUCUACCCCGGAGGGGGUAUAGGGGAGUUUUUCCAAGUAAAAUGACAAUAAUCGAAACGGGGUUAUUUAUUCAAGUUCAGAGUCGCCACUUGGGAUAAUUAAUGGUGUCCUAAGUCACCGGUUUAAAAUUCCGAAUCGAGGAAGUUUGACUCUAUUUUACAGUCCGUGAAACACCGAAAUUCGGGUAAGGAAUUAUGUUAACCCGGGAGAAGGUAUUAGGCAUUCUCGGGUUUUGUAAUUUUAGCACGGUCGCUCAACUAUUAUAAUUGGCCUAAUUAUCUGAUUAACUACAUAUUUUAAACCUAUUGUGCAUUUUUAACCUUUGACCGCUUUUAAUUAUUUAUGGAAUUAUUCUGGAACAAGUUACGAUUGUCGUACACUUGUAUGUUUGAUACACAUUGUGAAUUGUGUCAUGGGAAACGUACCCACGAUCUACAACACAUUUAAUUUAUUAACAUUAUUAAAAGUUGUGGCCAAGUCACAUAAAUGUACCCCCAGAUUUGAAAAUUAUGUAUCAUAACUACGUCACGGGAACUAUAACUGUAGCCAUGAUAAUUGUAUUAUAGCGUGCCUAAAGCAAACUGCGAAUGUUCAUGCUUACUUCUUGAAACUAAUUCGAAAAUUGUUUGAAGGCCACGAAUUAUAGCUAAGGCCUGGAAAGUUAUGCAUGCUUUUAACGAUUCUGAAAUAUUGGGCCAGCAAGAAACCUAUUAUGUUAAGUCCUUAAGAAUAAGAUUGUUGAAUUAAUUAUGCCCAAAACUGAGCCCAUGAAGCGGAAGAUACCCAGACCCCAUGCCAAGUCCGAUCUUGACCAAGCCAUCUCAUUCGGGCUAAAAUGAAGCCCAAUUAUUUUAAUAGGAAAAGUCUUUAGCAUGCUAAAGCUCUUGCUAAAAUUCAACCUCUGCUAAUACACAAAUAACUACACAAUUAUUCAAUUGAAAACGAAUAUGCAGCACUACUUUUAUUGAUUAAUAACGUUAACAUCACAUGUAUGGGCAUUUUUAUCAAUACUGAAUCCUAAGAUAACAAAUCCACGCAUUAUUUAGCAGUUGGACAAUGAUUUUCCUUUUUUGAAAGUUUAUGAACUUGGACCUUAGACUUACAGCAUUGGCAGCAUAAUAUUCUGCAUGCCCUUUCAAUGAAAUAAACAACAGAAAAGGGCUAAACCAUUAUACAAUCUUCGUGGAUUUCCACGUAGAUCCAGCUCAUGAAAAAUAAGUUACUUAAAGCAUUCAAUUCUGAACCUCCGAAUAUUUUUAUACAUCAUAUCUAUUUACAUAAAAAUUCCAUAUUUAUCUAGCAGUAACCACAAACCAUGAACCAUUGAUUAACAACUCACGAUAAAAAAAAUGAACAAAACUCAAUCUAUGGAAUGAUAGACAGACUCAGCCUGAACUAUCAAACAAAUAAAUUAAGGACUACAAUUGAAUAUCUAGGCAAUAGUCUUUCAUAAGGCUGCCAAUUUUUCCAUAUAUAAGCAGAAAUUUGUUUCACCUUUGAACUCACAUGGAUCUGACCAUGUCGAGAUCAGAUCCACCAAGAGCAAGGCUACAGUGUUAUCACACUCAUCCAACAAAACAGGAAUAUUAAACAAGAAUGAACAAAUGAAAAUAGUAUAUGUAACCUAAAAUAAAACAGAUAACAAAUACUGCAUUUAACACACAAGAAACAUGAUUUCAUAGCAUGAGAAACACUGAAUUAAUAAAGAGUUACAUGGUCAAGGAAAAACUUAAAUGUUAUUGCAUUUAAUGAAGAUGAAUUUCAUCAUAACAACCUAGCAUUCAACAAAAUCUCUUGCGUUCAUAUUAAGUUAGAUUUAUAGAGAUAUGAGCAGAAGACAAGGUGUGUACCUUGCUACUUAAGAACUACUUCAAAAAAUGCUAAGUAGAUGCAAAUAAUUCAGCAGCAAAGAGAUGGGCUUUCAGUAGGAGAUCAAUAGAGAGAAAACAGCAAGAAACAGCCACACACAUCCUCAAACUUAAUCAAUUUUCGACUUGUGGAAACUAGAAAUCCCAAAGAAUUUCUUAAAAUUUUGCUCUAAUCAAAGGAAAAGAGAAUCAGCUCUAAUGAAACAGUGUUGAACUUUUAGGAGUAUUUUAGGGUUCUAAAAAUCUCCCUAAAUGAGUGAAGAAA
rnacentral:lncRNA from 1 species